rnacentral:rRNA from 1 species
UACGUAGGUGACCAGCGUUGUCCGGAUUUACUGGGCGUAAAGAGCGCGCAGGCGGUCGUUCAAGUCGAGUGUGAAAGCCCCCGGCUCAACUGGGGAGGGUCACUCGAUACUGAUCGACUUGAAGGCAGGAGAGGGAAGCGGAAUUCCCGGUGUAGUGGUGAAAUGCGUAGAUAUCGGAAGGAACACCAGUGGCGAAGGCGGCUUCCUGGGCUAAUACUGACACUGAGGUGCGAAAGCGUGGGGAGCAAACAGG